GGUGGUCCAACAGGUCCAGGGGGUCCGCGGUCUCCGCUGCCACCAGCAGCUCCCUGCUUUCCGGGCUCACCCUGGGAGGAGAGAAGAGAAGAGGACUCAUCAUGUAAUUUAUCCUCUGGUUUGGAUAAAUUUCCAGUUUCGAUCGAUGAAAUGAGCAACGGUUGACUCCAAACCACAACGUACUCAAAUGGACAGAAUCUCGAUCCCAGUCGGAUGUUCA